CUGCAGUGAGUGGCGAACGGGUGAGUAACGCGUAGGAACCCGCCUCGACGUGGGGGAUAACACUUGGAAACAGGUGCUAAUACCGCAUGUGGUCGUAAGAAGAAAGGCGAAAGCCGCGUUGAGAGGGGCCUGCGUCCGAUUAGCUUGUUGGUGGGGUAAUGGCCUACCAAGGCGACGAUCGGUAGCCGGUCUGAGAGGAUGGUCAGCCACACUGGAACUGAGACACGGUCCAG
rnacentral:rRNA from 1 species